CCAUCGCCGAAAGCGUUGCUGAACGCGCAGGAGUCAGCAGAGGUCAUAGUAGCGGAAAACCGUGAAGGGC
rnacentral:ncRNA from 1 species